UGGAUACAAAGGAUACGGUGGCGACGCCGAUUAAGAGAAGACAGAGGACGGAAGACACGUGUCGUGAUCUAGAGAAGGAUUUGACUUUGAGC
rnacentral:sRNA from 1 species